AUCACUUCUCAGCCUUUUGGCUAAGAUUAAGUGUAGUAUAUGUUCUUAUCAGUGCAAUAUCUGAUAUGUCUUCUAUCUGAGAAUAAUAUAUUAAAUGGAUUUUUGGAGCAGGGAGAUGGAAUAGAAGCUUGCUCCAUCCACUCCAUGCAUCAACCCAGUAUUGCAGUACCUCUGGGAAUGGUGAAUAAAAA